rnacentral:lncRNA from 1 species
ACCACCUUGAACCAACGCACAAAACCAGCUCAAAUACUUACAUUUCAGAAUAAGUCAGAUAAGAACAUUCACACAAUUUUUUAUAGUAUACAUAACUCAGUGGGAUAAGAGCAUCAAAAGAGUACAAAAUGAUAUUGAAAAAUGCAGUGUGUGUUUACAUUUUUAAAACUUAUUACAUAAAGGAAACAUUGCCUUAAUCCCCCUCGAGGGACUCUUGCUUGCUCCACAAACAUUUCCCACUGCUCUUACCCCUUUCUGAAGCAGCUCCAGAAGUCCCCUUUCGCUUCUUGUACUGUCAUGGCUGCCUAGAUGUUCUGGAUCGUGUUUACGUUUUGUGGUUAAUUUGACUCUGGAACAGAGCCAGAAGUCACACCGUGCCAGACCCACUGAGAAAGGUGGAGGGGCCGCCGCAGAGGUUUUACCAGCCCGCCCUUCUCUUUGCUGGCCCUCAGCGGCAGCAGCCACAGCACCAAUCGCGCCUGGCCACGGCACGGAAGACUUGCAGAACUGCUUCAGAGUGGCAAGACGGAGGGAUCACGUGAGGAGGAAAGAGAGCAUUACGCCUUUCACUGGGAGAUGGAACCACGCACCGCAGAAGGAGGGCUGUACGGAGUAAGAAGUGGCCGGCAGACGGUGGGACACGGGAAAGGCAAACAGACCACAGGAAGUAAAUGUCUCCCACUUCAUACAACGUGGCCAGAAGAAGGGCUUUUGCAUGAUUACCUUGCUUUUGGAUCCUUCCAAGUAGGCUGGUAAUAGCAGUAGCUGUUGUCAUGACAACUUACAGCCCAUGUUAGAGUUCUCGGAAUUAUGAGGAGGCACUUAUGUUGUCAAUAAAAAUGCUGGAAGGAGCAACCUUUAGUAUUUUACUUAUUUUUAAAUUUUUAAUGUCUUUCUAACAUUCUCCCAUGGUAUUGUGCUCUCAAAUGAAUUUUUUUUUUUGCCCUGGCCUCUGUGUACUGAGGCAAGUUUAUGUAUAGGAUAAAUUCCUAGGCAGAAAUAAAAAAUAUUCAGAUACAUGAACCUCAGAAGGAAUACAGCAACAGACCCAAGGAUGAGGUCUUGUAGGCUUUGGACUUUCUCCAUCCUCAACCCUGCGGCAGCAGCUGAGCACACAAGAUUAAUGUGUGUCAUUCUUGUUAGAUGCAUUUAGUAAUCUUCUAAUUCAGCAAAGUCAUAUCCUAACAUGUAAUCUUUCUUGGGAGAAGAAAAAUGUAUAGUUUGUUAUCUAUCUU